UACGUAGGGCGCAAGCGUUGUCCGGAAUUAUUGGGCGUAAAGAGCUCGUAGGCGGUUUGUCGCGUCUGCCGUGAAAGUCCGGGGCUCAACUCCGGAUCUGCGGUGGGUACGGGCAGACUAGGGUGAUGUAGGGGAGACUGGAAUUCCUGGUGUAGCGGUGAAAUGCGCAGAUAUCAGGAGGAACACCGAUGGCGAAGGCAGGUCUCUGGGCAUUAACUGACGCUGAGGAGCGAAAGCAUGGGGAGCGAACAGG
rnacentral:rRNA from 1 species